rnacentral:misc_RNA from 1 species
AUAAAAACCACUUUUUCUUCCGGGAAGUCCAUUAGGGUUAGACUAUGCUCUUGCUCCCUCACAAAGUUCGCUAUCAGAUCCUAUAGCUCUCCUAGAGAUUGUUAGCCAAUACAUAACAGAUAACAGUUUAAAGCCUGAGUGCUUGCAACGAUAGUCUGUUAGAGAUUUGAGACGACAUUUAGGGAGGAGACGAGAAUGUCAAGUGGCAGAAAUUCCCAUUGGUGUUAUAGAUGCAGGAGGCCAGUUCGGCUGCGAGGGCGAGAUGCAGUAUGCCCCUAUUGCAGUGGAGGAUUUGUUCAAGAACUUGAUGAUAUGGUGCAAUUCAGCCCUUUGGAUUUCUUUGGAUUGGAGAGUGACGAUGAUCGUGACCAAAGAUUUGGGCUUAUGGAAGCUUUCUCAGCCUUUAUGAGACAGCGAUUGGCAGACAGAAGCCAUGACAUCAGAAUGAGAUCAGAUUUGAUUCCUGAACAUAAUCCAGGGUUUGGCCCUCUGUUGAUUUUUGGUGGCCAAAUUCCUUUUAGGUUGUCUGGAAAUGGUGGGUUUGAAGGUCUCUUCCCUGGGGCUCCUGGAAUAGCUCUAACACGAGGUAAUGCUGGUGAUUAUUUUAUUGGCCCUGGACUGGAAGAAUUGUUUGAACAGCUUUCAGCUAAUGACCGGCG